CCCAGGCCUUGUACACACCGCCCGUCACAUCAUGAAAGCCGUUUGUACCCGAAGUCGCCCCUUAUAUGGUGCCGAAGGUAUGGAUGGUGAUUGGGAUG
rnacentral:rRNA from 1 species